AACGAACGCUGGCGGCAUGCCUAACACAUGCAAGUCGAACGAGACCUUCGGGUCUAGUGGCGCACGGGUGCGUAACGCGUGGGAACCUGCCCUUAGGUUCGGCAUAGCUCCCCGAAAGGGGUGCUAAUACCGGACAAUGUCUUCGGACCAAAGAUUUAUCGCCUUUGGAUGGGCCCGCGUUGGAUUAGCUAGUUGGUAGGGUAAAAGCCUACCAAGGCGACGAUCCAUAGCUGGUCUGAGAGGAUGAUCAGCCACACUGGGACUGAGACACGGCCCAGACUCCUACGGGAGGCAGCAGUGGGGAAUAUUGGACAAUGGGCGAAAGCCUGAUCCAGCAAUGCCGCGUGAGUGAUGAAGGCCUUAGGGUUGUAAAGCUCUUUUACCCGGGAUGAUAAUGACAGUACCGGGAGAAUAAGCUCCGGCUAACUCCGUG
rnacentral:rRNA from 1 species